rnacentral:rRNA from 1 species
UACGGAGGGGGCUAGCGUUGUUCGGAAUUACUGGGCGUAAAGCGCGCGUAGGCGGAUCUGCAAGUCGGGGGUGAAAUCCCGAGGCUCAACCUCGGAACUGCCUUUGAUACUGGCGACCUUGGAGUCCGGGAGAGGUGAGUGGAACUCCGAGUGUAGAGGUGAAAUUCGUAGAUAUUCGGAAGAACACCAGUGGCGAAGGCGGCUCACUGGCCCGGUACUGACGCUGAGGUGCGAAAGCGUGGGGAGCAAACAGG